rnacentral:lncRNA from 1 species
GCAAAUGAUUUCAAAACCUUUGAUUUUAACUCUGUUUCCCUUUCAAGUUUCAAGUUUAUUUCAGAUAUUAGUACAGAAACAGAACAUCGUACAGGAUAAAUAUACAGAAGGAGGUCCGAAAGCACGAGGCUGCAGGGGGACCUCCUGUCCAAGAUUGAAAAAUAAAAAUUGCCUAAUUUGUAGAAACUGCAAUGUAACAAGGAA